rnacentral:rRNA from 1 species
AUUAUAAUAAAUUUUAACCCCGAAAUAUAGUGAGCUGCCUUAUUCUUGUUAAGAACCCAUUUUUUAGUGUAGCAAUACUUAUAAAAAAGUUUAAAGCAGAGGCUACAUACCUUCCGCACUAUAUAAUAGCUGGUUUCCCCAAAUCCCAGUCUAAGCUGAACUAAUUGUAAACUAAAAUUAAUUCUAUACAAUUGUUUAAAUCAAUUGAGGACAAGCUCAAUUGCCUUUAUUAUUCUAAGCAAAAUCCUUAUUCAUAGUAGGCUCAAAAUCAGCCAUCAAUUAAUUCGUUAUAGUUAUAUAUAAAUAAUUAUAAAAAACCAAUAACUUUUCAAGGGAUAAAUAUAUUAACCAAAAUAUCUUCAACCUAUGUAUAAAUCAGUAUUUAUUCUCAAAACCCUUAAAUUCCUAAAAUAAGUAGAUAAGGAACUAGGCAAAACUGACUUCGCCUGUUUACCAAAAACAUCGCCUAUUGAUUAUUCAAUAAUAGGUAAGCCCUGCCCAGUGAUAUAUUCAACGGCCGCGGUAUCCUGACCGUGCAAAGGUAGCAUAAUCAUUUGCCUCUUAAUUAGAGGCUAGUAUGAAUGGGUAGACGAAAGUCAAGCUGUCUCAUCUACUACUUUAUAAAUUAAUCCUCAGGUGAAGAAGCCUGAAUCUUAUUAAAAGACAAGAAGACCCUGUCGAGCUUAAUCCUUCUCUUAAAAAUUAUUUUAUAUACUCUUUAACCUAAGAUUUUGUUGGGGCGACAAAGGAACAAUUUAUCUUCCUUCCUAAAAAUAGAUUUCAUAUCCUUCCAUUUGACCCAUUUUAUGAUCAUAGAAAAAAGCUACCGCAGGGAUAACAGGCUAAUCUUCCUCAAGAGCCCAAAUCUAAAGGAAGGCUUGGCACCUCGAUGUUGGCUUAGGAUCUCUUCUAAAUGCAACAGUUUAAAAAGAAGGUUUGUUCAACCUUUAAUUUCCUACGUGAU